rnacentral:rRNA from 1 species
GACAGAGGGUGCAAACGUUGUUCGGAAUUACUGGGCGUAAAGCGCGUGUAGGCGGCCCUGCAAGUCGGAUGUGAAAUCCCACGGCUCAACCGUGGAAGUGCAUUCGAAACUGCAGGGCUAGAGUCCUGGAGAGGAAGGUGGAAUGCUUGGUGUAGAGGUGAAAUUCGUAGAUAUCAAGCGGAACACCGGUGGCGAAGGCGGCUUUCUGGGCCUUACCUGACGCUGAGACGC